GUGUUUUACUGUGUUGAAACACUAAUAUUUGUGUUCAGCAAAGGCUCCCGAGUAUAACAGUACUUGGCAGACUUUUUAAAAAAAAAUUUCUCAUUUGAACAGAUGCAGGAAGACUGCAUGUUAGUUUAGGCAGUCCCCUGCAGGCAGCACUAUGGACGCCUAUUGUGGCCACGUGACCGCCUCUUUCAGAGCGUUCACAUGGCCUGCAAGGGCCUAAUUUGCUGUCAUGCCUUCCCCCC